CGGAGUGUAGCGCAUCUCGUUCGGGACGAGAGGGUCGAAGGUUCAAAUCCUUUCACUCCGACCA
rnacentral:tRNA from 1 species